rnacentral:rRNA from 1 species
AUGACAAGCAAUAUGGCCGAAUGCUUCAAUAGGGUGCUCAAAGGUGCACGUGGAUUACCCGUGACGGCAAUAGUUCAAUACACAUUUGACAAGAUGAAUGCGUACUUUGUAAAGUACUCGAUGGAAAUGGAUGCACAGAUAGCGGGUGAGAACCCGCGCAAGUACAAGUACAAGUUCCCACCCAAGGUUGAUGAAUGGUUGGUAUUUCAAUCACGGAAGGCGGACUCAGAAGAAGCUAUAUUAUAUGACAACGAAGUGUGGAAGUACGAAGUGAAAGAGCCAGGAGGAACCACAAACGAUGGCCGGCAACAUGGAGGUCGGGCUUUCAAGGUGUCGUUAACACAAUGUGAUUGCACUUGCGGGAGGCCAUUGUUGCUUCAUCUCCCAUGCUCGCACUUGUAUACCGCCGGUCGCGUUAGGAAUGUGGACAUCAAUCACCCACGCACCAUGAGGGAGUCAGAGUUCUCAAUCAUGACGGUCAAGAAAACAUGGGCUCCCCGCUUUCACCCGUACUUUGACCAAUCACAAUGGCCGGAGUAUCAUGGAGUUCAACUAUGGCCAGAUCCGGAGUUGAAGGUUGUUAAACGGGGUAGACGUAAGACAAAGCGUCUUAGAGGCGACAUGGACGGAUGGGGCCAUGGUGGCCGCCGCGAAGCGGGCAACGACCAAUUCCAAGAGCCUCGUGAGAGCUCCCGUUGUGGGGAGUGCAAAGGUCAUGGCCACAACAAAAGAAAAUGUACGAAACCAAGGAAAAGGUCCAAGAAAAAUGAUGCAAGCACAAGUGCCAACAAGGGAGCCAACCAAGUGAGGCAACCAAGUGGUAGCCAACCUAGUGGUAGCCAACAAGUGCCAAGCCAACCAAGUGGUAGCCAACCUAGUGGUAGCCAACAAGUGCCAAGCCAACCAAGUGUUAGCCAAAGAGGAUCUAGGCAACAAAGAGGUUGGCAACUAGGACUUACAAGAGGUCGUGGUGGUGGUAGAGCUCGUGGUGGUGGUAGAGCUCGUGCUGGUGGUGUUGGCCGUGGUGAUGGUGUUAGCCGUGGUGAUGGUCUAGGCCUUGGUGAUGGUCUUGGCCAUGGUGGUGGACUUGGCCGUGGUGAUGGACAAGGGCAAGUUCGUUAUAGAGGAAUGUUUGGAUACCUCGAUGGACCAUUUCCGUAUGUUCCUCACUAA